GGACUACUCGGGUUUCUAAUCCUGUUUGCUCCCCACGCUCUCGCGCCUCAGCGUCAGUCUCAGUCCAGGUGGUCGCCUUCGCCACUGAUGUUCCUUCCGAUCUCUACGCAUUUCACCGCUACACCGGAAAUUCCACCACCCUCUACUGCACUCCAGUCCAAUAGUCUAAGAUGCAUUUCCCAGGUUAAGCCCGGGGCUUUCACAUCUUACUUAUCAAACCGCCUACGCGCCCUUUACGCCCAAUAACUCCGAUUAACGCUUGCACCCUCUGUAUUACCGCGGCUGCUGGCAC
rnacentral:rRNA from 1 species